GGAAGGAUUGAGUGUAGCUCCAACUCUGAUUGAGUGUGCUUGCACUAAUAUUUAGUUUGAUGUGAUUUAAUUGUUGCAAUUUUUAUAUGGCUAUGAUGAUUAUGAUGAUGUUAAUGAAAGUAGGAAACAAAAUAUCCUAAUUAAAUCUUGUUUUACAGUUUAGUGUAGAAACUAGGGCAUUUAAUUUGAUGUAUCGGUUACAUAUUGAGGAAAGGGAAUGUGGCAAUUUAGCUCAACCUUCUUAUGUCUUAUGCCUUCACUAUUUAUACUGAGCUCACUGUAAUCAUGGCUGAUCUUAGCACUAUUAACUUUUUAGUGUAAUUCUGAAGGCUUUCUCUUAGUUCGAUUGGGGUUUAAAAUCUGCCAAAAAGUGCAAAAUUUAAUCCAAACUACAUGAUACAUGAGAACCAAGUUAUGAACUAUCAAGUAUACAUUGCAUUAGAAGCUUGUGUUGUUCACAAACAUUUCUCAGUUGGCAGUAGAAUGCAUGUUCGGCAGAAUGCCCUUGUUUGCAUUGCUUUUGCUCGUAGAUUAAAGAUUAAGAUGAAUGUUGGAUGCAAACUGAUUGGCAUUGUUGUAGUUUUGUUUUCCCUGUCUUGUAUGAUUAGGACUGGUGUCUAUUGAUCAUUUGGUCACAUGUUUUUCUUUUUUGAAUAAAUGUAUUUGAGGAUUAUUCAUGACUUAUAAUUGGACUUUGUUGGAUUCAUUUGUGGAGAUGGAAAUUUGGAGUAUCAAUCACACACACACCAACAUUUGUACGUGUGUGUAAAAGUUAGGUGCAUUGAAUCUAGUUGAAUCUGAGUAAUUUGUUACAGCAUUGAAUCUAGUUGAAUCUCUGAGUAAUUUGUUACAGGUUCACCUAUGUAACUCUGUUCCUAAACUAAGAUGAUGGGACAAUUAUUUUUCUAGAUAAAACUGUGUCGCCUCUUCUGUGUCGCCUCUUCUGAUUUAGUUAUUGCACAGGUCAAAUAAAAACUAACAAGAUGCAAAGGUAAUAGUAGUUGUUUCAGAUGUUUGCUUCUUUCUCAUCACUUUGUUCAACGGCAAAAUAUAUACUCAUCCACUGCUCUAAAUGCUUAUAAACACCCAAUGCCUGUUCAUCUGUCUGACUCUCACCCCAUUUAUAUCCUUUUUAGCUCUCUUCUUUGACUAUUAUUAACACAAAUCUUUGACUGUUAUUCUAGAACUCUAAACCAUGUUGUCCCUAGCUUUAUAAGGAAAUGAAUUGGUUUAGAAAAAGAAUUUUCUAUAUUUGGCUUUAUAAGACAAUUUCGUAGUAUUCACAAAGAUAUCACACAGAAAUAUGAGUUUAACAGACCACCAUUCCCCUGUAAACUAAAUAAACUUGAUAGCAGAGUUGGUCUUUUCUAGUUUCUGUACUACUGAUUAUUUGUUGCUGCUAAUCAUUAACUUUAAUUAUGUUGGCAGAUAUUCUUGCUUUUAUUAUUUGAACUCUUUGAUGCAGUGAAGAAUGAAGAAGGAGAAAAAGCCAGCUGCUUGAUCAAAUAGAGAUGGUCCAUUCUAUGACUUCUUUUGGUUUUGGUGUUUUAGAUUAGACUCUAGAUUUCAAGGGGUUUUCUGGAAAGCUGCUAGAAUAGGUAAAAUAUAAUAUUCUAUGUAACUUGUAAUGCUAAUUGUGUUAUAACACUUUGUCUAUUACCUAUUUGUCAUAACUUGAGAUUUUGGUGAUGCUUGUCAAAUGUACCUGAUUAUUGGUUUUAUUGGUCAAAUUUGUCAAAUGCUAAGUGCUCAUUCUUCUUUCUUCUUUCUUACCUUUUCUAAUUUGAGUUGAAAGAAUAAAAAAGAAGUCAGGAUUAUUUGUUGAUUUUUGUUCAAGAAUUACAACAUAUGCUAGGUACGUUCAAGACUUUAAUCCUUAGACUGCUGUUGUUUGCAAAACUGUCUUAUUUAUAAUGUUCUAGUUUGAUACAAAGGAAUU